rnacentral:rRNA from 1 species
GGGGACCCGCAAGCGGUGGAUGAUGUGGAUUAAUUCGAUGCAACGCGAAAAACCUUACCUACCCUUGACAUGUACGGAAGGCCGAAGAGAUUUGGCUGUGCUCGAAAGAGAGCCGUAACACAGGUGCUGCAUGGCUGUCGUCAGCUCGUGUCGUGAGAUGUUGGGUUAAGUCCCGCAACGAGCGCAACCCUUGUCAUUAGUUGCUACAUUUAGUUGAGCACUCUAAUGAGACUGCCGGUGACAAACCGGAGGAAGGUGGGGAUGACGUCAAGUCCUCAUGGCCCUUAUGGGUAGGGCUUCACACGUCAUACAAUGGUACAUACAGAGGGCCGCCAACCCGCGAGGGGGAGCUAAUCCCAGAAAGUGUAUCGUAGUCCGGAUCGCAGUCUGCAACUCGACUGCGUGAAGUUGGAAUCGCUAGUAAUCGCGGAUCAGCAUGUCGCGGUGAAUACGUUCCCGGGUCUUGUACACACC